rnacentral:rRNA from 1 species
GUGAGGAAUUUUCCGCAAUGGGCGAAAGCCUGACGGAGCAAUGCCGCGUGAAGGAUGAAGGCCUAUGGGUUGUAAACUUCUUUUCUCAGAAAAGAAUUAUGACGGUAUCUGAGGAAUAAGCAUCGGCUAACUCUGUGCCAGCAGCCGCGGUAAGACAGAGGAUGCAAGCGUUAUCCGGAAUGAUUGGGCGUAAAGCGUCUGUAGGUUGUUUAAAAAGUAUUCUGUCAAAGAUUAGGGCUUAACCCUAGAUAGGCAGAAUAAACUUUUAAGCUAGAGUUUGGUAGAGGCAGAGGGAAUUCCCGGUGGAGCGGUGAAAUGCGUAGAUGUCGGGAGGAACACCAAAGGCGAAGGCACUCUGCUGGGCCAAUACUAACACUGAGAGACGAAAGCGAGGGGAGCAAAUGGGAUUAGAAACCCGUGUAGUCC